UUGAGGAAGAUCACAUUUUGUGGUCGAAACGUGAACCAGUCAGCUAUGACCAUAUGAUGAGAAGAAUAAAUAAAGUUCAAUGUCUGCCAAGUCCCUGGAAAGUGCACUCUGCUUAUUGAAAGUAACAUGUAUACAUAUACAUGUAUAUCUCUAAUUCUGACAGCCUGCAGCUGAAGCUGUUCACAGGAGCAGAGAAGUCAGAAGACAGGAACAGCUGCAUAUGCAGUUUGUCACUCUGUUCCAGUGGAAUCAACUGGAGAGCACUGUAAAUUUGUGACAGAAUUUGGGAAACCACUGUGGGGGCUACCCACCAGUUACUAAUGUAUAGCAGCCACAUGGAGGAUGUCACAGCAGCCCAACACAGCCCACAGAUUGAAGAAGAGAUAGUCAUCCACGUCCAGCCGAACCCAUCGAUGGUCAUCCACGUCCAGCCGAACCCAUCGACGGUUUGAAAGAACUUCUCGUCAUCACACCGAACUCUGGUCACGGUUUGAAAGAACUUCUCGUCAUCACACCGAACUCUGGUCACGCUCCUGAUGGCUCUCUAAUGAAUAUUUGGAAUUCCUCUGUAACUCUUUUUGAUACGUCAUCUCGCAAGGCAUCUCCGUUUCUACAGAUGUAAAUUUUUAUGCUGUGCAUGGUGGUAAAUAGGAGUGACACUCCUUUGGUUAGAUAUAUUACUAUCAAUGUAUGGUUUUUGUUGAGCUAUUUUCCUCCCGGUUGUUGUUCUACCAAGUUACUGGUGACUUGGAUGUGCCUGGGAUUGUUUUUACACCUGCUCCCUUGGGGGUAUGGGUCGAUCCGUGGCCCAUCCAUAGUCACCAAAAUCUUUCUUCUCUUUUUUGCUUUUCUUGGAUUGUUUGUUUUGCUGCAUCCUAAUGCUUUUCCUAUGUCCCUCCCUCCCCUCUCUUUUAAUGGGAUUUCGUGUGCUGUCCUGUGGAGUCUGUCAUAUGUGCAUUCAUGUCAAUUAAUAUCUGAAACUCAAUUGCUUUGUACUUACUGUAUUUAACCUUUUAUGACAGAACUUAAUAUAGCCUCUUGGAAUGUGGG